rnacentral:lncRNA from 1 species
GGUCGCUUCCUUGGCAACAUCUCCAAACAGAACUUGGAACUCUUGCUACUGGCUUAUAACUGCCAUCUCCCAAGCUCACUUGGCCAGAGACGGUCAACAGCGAACGUGCUGAGCUGCUUCUCCACUUCGAAAGGCCGCAGCCUCAAGACCCCAGGUAGAGAAUGUAUCUGUGAAAGAAUAAGAAGACGGCUGACUCCAUCCAGAUGCCGCAGGCCAUGCUGCAGCAGCUGCACGACUGUCACAGACACCCCAGGGACGGUCUCCCCGGGAGUGAGCACCAGUGAUCUACCAAAAUCAAGGACAGAGCAUCUGAGUGAGAUGGACAGAGGUUGGGAGAAGAAAAGGAUGACAGUGGAACAGGAUGAAGACUGGAGAGACGAAGCACCUGCCAUCCUGCAUCUGGCCUCACCUCCCAACACACAGCUGCCCAGGGGCAGAGCCAAGAAGAAUCCAGUAGGGCCAAUGACUCAGGGACAGCUGGAGACUCUGCUCUGAGUCGAGAACAGUUCGAGCGAAGGAGCUGAUCAGAUGUGGAAACAGGCCCAAAGAAGUUAGGAGGCUGGUUCAAGGUCACACAGCUUGUUCUUAGUCAGCCCGGGACCAGAGUGAGCCGCCCCCCAGCCCAUCAUCACCAUCUCUCCGUGGAGGUCCUCCGUUCUGCAGUUCUGCAGGAAAAGAGGAGAGAGGAACGCAGCACUUAAACCAGAGACUUGAGAAGGGGCCAGCUGGCAAGCUGGUAGAAGGCAGAACUCGUAAAAAUGCUGCACAUUCUCAAAUACAUCCCAUCUAAUCAUGACGAUAAUGGUAAUAACGGUUACUACAUAAGCACAAGUGCCGAAAAUCUCUG